rnacentral:rRNA from 1 species
CAGUAGCCGCGGUAAUACAGAGGAUGCAAGCGUUAUCCGGAAUGAUUGGGCGUAAAGCGUCUGUAGGUGGCUUUUCAAGUCCGCCGUCAAAUCCCAGGGCUCAACCCUGGACAGGCGGAGGAAACUACCAAGCUGGAGUACGGUAGGGGCAGAGGGAAUUUCCGGUGGAGCGGUGAAAUGUGUUGAGAUCGGAAAGAACACCAACGGCGAAAGCGCUCUGCUGGGCCGACACUGACACUGAGAGACGAAAGCUAGGGGAGCAAAUGGGAUUAGAUACCCGCGUAGUCCCUGUCUCUUAUAA